AGGCGGUUGCUAGGCUCCAGCGGCUCCCGGCCAGCGGGGACGUGGAGGUGACAUUUCUCUGACCCACAGGACUGUGGGCGCCCUGCCGAGCGUCGCGCGGUCUUGGGGCGACCUGCAGUGGGGCCCCUGCGGCGCAGCGCGCGGUGGGACUGGCCGGGUUCCCGCGCCGCCCAGGGCCUGUGUCUGCGCCGGUUCCUGGCAAGGGCACCUUGGCCGGGCGGCCCGCGUCCCCUGCGCUUCCCACACCCACGUGGGCGGACCCGGCCCGCAAGCUGGGCCAGCCUGCGGUUUCCGGGCACUGGGGAGUGCGCAGAGCCCCGGGCCAGCGACCGCAGCCGGGGCCCCUGGCUUCUCCCGAGCACUUUCCCCCGGACCGGUCCCUCCAGGGUGGCGGGCGGCACCCAGGGCCGGCGCUCCUCACCAACGCGCUGCAGCUACGGGCUCAGGAGGGAGCCGCAGCGUCGGAGGAGGAAAGCAUUUAAGAAUAGCACAAAGCCUUAGGCUCGAGGAAGCGUGACUGCUUACGUGUUGAAAAUAAAGGUUCUGUAAGUCCCACCGCGGGUGCAUAUUGAAAAGAAAGGGAUCAUUAGCACGCGACCCUCGCCUAGGAGUAUAUAAACCGCAGCACGACUUUCGGAUCACAAAGGCAGAGAAAAGAACACAUUGAAGGCUUUUGCUCACUUUUCCAAGUUGUUUCGUUUCGUUUUGUUUCUAAUGUGGACGAUCAUUUAAAAUGCCUCUGGUGGCCGGGCGCGGUGACUGACGCCUGUAAUCACAGCACUUUGGGAGGCCGAGGCGGGCGGAUCACCUGAGGUCAGGAAUUCGAGACCAGCCUGGGCAAUACGGUUAAACCCCCUCUCUACUAAAAAUAAAAAAAUUAGCUGGGCGUGGUGGCAUGUGCUUGUAGUCCCAGCUACUUGGGAGGCUGAGACAGAAGAAUCGCUUGAACCCGGGAGGCGGAAGUUGCAAUGAGCCAAGAUUGCGCCAUUGCAUUCCAGCCUGGGCAACAGAGCAAGACCCUGUCUCCAAAAAAAACAAAUAAAUAUAACAAAAUUCCUCUGGUAGCCGGGUGCGGUGGCUCACGCCUGUAAUCUCAGCACUUUGGGAGGCUGAGGCAGGUGGAUCACUUGAAGUCAAGAGUUUGAGACCAGCCUGGCCAAUAUAGUGAAACCUCAUCUCUACUGAAAAUACAAAAAUUAGCCAGGCGUGGUGAUGCGCUCCUGUGAUCCCAGCUACUCGGGAGGCUGAGGCGUGAGAAUCGGUUGAACCCGGGAGGUGGAGGUUGUAGUGAUCCGAGAUUGUGCCAUUGCACUCCAGCCUGGGCAACAGAGGGAGAUCCUGUCUCUAAAAUAAAAAAUAAAAGAAAUGCCUUUGGUGAACAGGAAUUCUCAACAUUAGUGACCCGCAGUGUAUUAGUGUUAAUAAUGGACAUCCCCUUUGAUCCAGCAAGCCCAUCUAGAGAUUUCCUAGGAUAGACAAGCCAGUUUGUGCAAUUUCAUGUGUACAGCAUUGUUUUUAGUAUGGAAAGAUUAGAGUUUACAUAUCUACCCAUAGGGAGAGAGUUAAAUAAAUUAUGGUGCAUCCGUUUAGUGGAUUAGUAUACAGCCAUUAGGAAUAAAGGAAUUCUUUAUGUGCUGAUAUGAAAUAUCUUUUUUAUUUUCAAGAAAAAAACCCAGGUUCUGAAUAGUGUAUAAAGUAUGCUACUCAUUGUGCAUAGGGACAAAGAAAAUAUAUACAUUCAUGUUUGCAAAGAUACUGGAGAAAUGUUAGUAGUGGCUGCCUCUAAGGAUGACCAAGAGUGACACUGACUUUUCAUUGUAUCUUCCUUUGUUCUUUUUGAAAUUUGUACAGUCUACUUAUGCUAUCUAUUCAAAAUAAGUGGUGUUAAGAAGAAAUGCCUUUGAGAAUGAAAAUGGUAAGCCCUUGAUUGAGUGGGGUUCAUUUUCUGUUAGGAUCGUGGUCUCUAUUGGUCACAGCUGACCUUGAUCGUCACUGAAAGUGUAUCUCAUUACACAAUAUUGCAGUCUUGAACACCAGGAAGGUUGUUCUGUUCCACAUGAACAUGCUUCAUGAUGGGGUUAGGAAUGUACAACCUGUGAAAAGUGAGGGAGUCUUGAUUAUUAAUAAUAAUAUUAUUAAUAGCUACCUUUUCUUGAUCAUUAGGCACUAUUUGUACAUUAUUUCUCCUUCUCACAUCAACCCAGAAGGUAGGUAUAAGGAAACUGAGUGGCUUCUUGAAUGAAGCCAAACUGCUCUGCAAGAUUGGUGGAAAAGGAGACUCUCCAUGUGCUAACAGGUUCCUGGAUCUCAUAGCUGCUCUGUCUUAGCCCUUAAUAUGUUUCUUUUCCUCAUGGAUGGUGGUUCUGAAACCUGAGCUGUCAGAAGAAUCCUUGGCAGAUUCCUAGAUCCCAGCCUCAGACUCAGAAGGUCUGGAGUUGGGGCUGAAAGCUGCGUGGCUAAUGGGCACUGCAGGUGACUCUGAGGCUGCUGGUCAGUGUCUAGCACUUGGAGAAACUCUACUGAGGGCACCUGCCCCUAAUGCACUGUUGCCACCACUGGGCUGGGGUCAAGAGGCUUUACUUCCCACAUUUGGGCCUCAAUUGGGACCUCUGAGCUUUCCACUAGUUUCCGUUCCAUGAAGGAGUACAAAUUGGAGUAUGUAAAGACAAAAGACAUACGUAAGUGGAUAAUUUGGGUUUGAACUAAGUUCUCUGCGACUCUCAAAGCCAUACUUCCCCCAUGUUGCCACAAAAAGUAUUUGUUUCAUGUUGCCAUGUAUCUCUUACUUCAAAUAUGAAGCAGGAAUGUGAUCUAAAGCAUAAGAACAUAGCAAUAGAUAGACCCAUGUACAUGAUUUCGUAAAACUUUAGAAAGGCCAGUCCUACAUGGUUUGUCCAUAUUUGGACGGUGUGUGGAAUGCACAAAUGAAAGCAUCACUGGCUAUUCUGAACCCCAGGUUUGUGGAAGUGAGUGUAAAGGCCCAGCAGUGAGCCCCAAUCUCACCUGCCCAUCAAAGUUCAGAAACGACAAUCAGAAUAGGCCGCACUUGGCGCUUCCCUGUAGACACAGGAUCUGUGAGUUUGGACAGAUUUCUGGUCAGUUUGGAAGGAAGCUGGCCUCUGUUAACAGAGCACCCCUUAUGGGUCAGUGUUGUGCAGGCAGUCCACAUACACUGUGUGUAUGCGAUGACAGUGCGUCUGCUUGUAGAAGGGGCUGGGUCCCCUCUGCAGAGCCUCCGCAUGGGGCUGCAUGACUGGUUCCGGCCGACUUGCUGGGGAGCGCACAGCCUGUCCACAAAGGGAAUCUUCAUCCUUCCUGAUCUGUAGAGCCAUUUGCAAUGCGUGAUGGCAACUGCUUAACUUCAGUUUUCGUCCCUGGGCCAGAGAUUUCUGUGCCCUGGGAUAAUAAACGUAUUAUCUAAAGAGCUUUUAUUUCUUUCUAGAGAAUAAGGAAAAUGAUACUCUGCAGAAUUUCUAUUUCUUUUGUAAUUAUCUCAGGGGAAGGUAGUUAUUAAGUGUUCACUGAUUAGGAUUAAUGUUUCCAAUUUUUGUCAAGAACAGAAUGUAUGUAUUACUAAUUUAACCAUAAUUUCAAUCAAAACUGUGUCAUUAAAAAUGUUGGCAGUCAUGCAUUUCCUGCAUGGUUAUGAAUUUUUUCAUGUAUCUAUAGUAUUUUUCUAACAGUCUAAUUUUAAUUCAUUCACUUUCUCACGAAAAUGUAUUUUUUUUCCAUUUCAGCAUGUAGUACUUGUGUUACCUUUUCACGAGGCCCACACUCCUCCAAGGAGGCUGCUGAUUGUCUCUAAACUGAUUACCUCCAUUUGUUCUUUCCUUGAUCUUACAGUGUCCAUCAGCUUCCUAUGAUUGAAGAAAAGCUUCCACUUGUAAUAAACCAACUUCUCUCAUCCAGUUAUCAACAUAGACCAAAAAAAAAAAGAAAAAAAAAAGGCCAGGCGCAGUGGCUCAUGCCUGUAAUCCCAGCACUUUGGGAGGUCAAGGUGGGCAGAUCACUUGAAGUCAGGAGUUCAAGACCAGUCUGGCCAACAUGGUGAAACCCUGUCUCUACUAAAAAUACAGAAAUUAGCCGGGAAUUGGUGGUGCGCACCUAUAGUUCCAGCUACUCAGGAGGCUGAGGCAGGUGAAUCGCUUGAAUCCAGGAGGCGGAGGUUGCAUUGAGAGGAGAUCAUGCCACUGCACUGGGCGGCAGAGCAAAACUCUGUCUCAAGAAGAAAAAGAAAAAAGAAAAAAGCGGAGUCGUUCUGGUGAUGAAAAUGGUCUAACAUUGAUUGUAGUGAGGGUUGUGCAGCUCUGUGAAUAUGCUAAAGAACCAUCGAAUUGGACACUUUAAAUGGGUGCAAAUUAUAUUCCAAUAAACUAUCUGUAGAAACUUAAGAGUUUAUUAUUAUUAUUAUUUUGAGACGGAGUCUUGGUCUGUCGCCCAGGCCGGAGUGCAGUGGCG
rnacentral:lncRNA from 1 species